rnacentral:rRNA from 1 species
AACCCUAGUCAAUAGGCCUACGGCGUAAAACGUGUUUAAGGAGACUUCCAUAUAAAGUUAAACCUUAGCUAUGCUGUAAAAAGCCACAGCUACUGUAAACCCUAAUACGAAAGUAACUUUAAAAUACCUGACUACACGACAGCUAAGACCCAAACUGGGAUUAGAUACCCCACUAUGCCUAGCCCUAAACUUAAAGAGCCCUAUAACAAGGCUCUUCGCCAGAGUACUACUAGCCAAAGCUUAAAACUCAAGGGACUUGGCGGUGCUUCAUAUCCCUCUAGAGGAGCCUGUUCUAUAAUCGAUAAACCCCGAUAAACCUCACCAAUCCUUGCUAAUU